rnacentral:rRNA from 1 species
UCAGGCCUAACACAUGCAAGUCGAGGGGUAACAGGAAAGCUUGCUUUCGCUGACGACCGGCGCACGGGUGCGUAACGCGUAUGCAACCUACCUCAUACUGGAGAAUAGCCCCUGGAAACGGGGAUUAAUACUCCAUGGUAUCAUUCUUUCGCAUGUUAGAAUGAUUAAAGAAUUUCGGUAUGAGAUGGGCAUGCGUCCCAUUAGCUAGUUGGUGAGGUAACGGCUCACCAAGGCGACGAUGGGUAGGGGGCCUGAGAGGGUGGUCCCCCACACUGGUACUGAGACACGGACCAGACUCCUACGGGAGGCAGCAGUGAGGAAUAUUGGUCAAUGGAGGCAACUCUGAACCAGCCAUGCCGCGUGAAGGAUGACGGCCCUAUGGGUUGUAAACUUCUUUUGAAUAGGAAGAAACUUAUCUACGUGUAGAUAACUGACGGUACUAUUAGAAUAAGGAUCGGCUAACUCCGUGCCAGCAGCCGCGGUAAUACGGAGGAUCCAAGCGUUAUCCGGUUUCAUUGGGUUUAAAGGGUCCGUAGGCGGGUCUUUAAGUCAGUGGUGAAAGCCGACAGCUCAACUGUCGAACUGCCAUUGAUACUGGAGACCUUGAGUACAAAUGAAGUAGGCGGAAUGAGUCAUGUAGCGGUGAAAUGCAUAGAUAUGACUCAGAACACCGAUUGCGAAGGCAGCUUACUAACAUGUA